rnacentral:misc_RNA from 1 species
AAAACUGUACACAUCACUCUUCUCAUUUACCUUGCAUGUGUACGCAUAUUCAGGAGCCAUGUAACCAUGAGUUCCAGCAAUGAUAUGACUCCAAUCUCCACCACCAGCUUGAACAAUCUUUGCAAGUCCAAAAUCAGCAAUCCUUGGCUUCCACUCCUCAUCCAACAAAAUAUUACUUGACUUCACAUCUCUGUGAAUCACAGGUCUAUCAAACCCAUGAUGCAAGUACUCCAGUCCCCUUGCAGCCCCAACUGCAAUUGCAUACCUUAACUCCCACCCCAUCUUCAUCUCGUUACAAGAAUGUAGCUGAUCCCACAGGCUUCCAUUGGGUAGAUACUCAUAAACCAGUAGAUUGCUGUCCUCACUUGUGAUGCUACAGUACAGCUUCACCACAUUCACAUGCCUUACAGCACUCAAUGUGGCCACUUCUGCAUCAAAUUCUGUUGAUCUGAAGUCCCUUUUAGUCAGCAUGGCUGAGCUGCUCCGUAAACUUUUCCGAUCAGUACUGGUAUUGGAUGUCCAAAUGUGUUUCACAGCCAGUUCAUUGCCAUUACCAAGGACAACUUUGUACACAUUUCCUGAUCCUCCUUUGCCAAUCAAAUUCUCCGAUCUAAUGGCAUCAGUGAUGUCUCUUUCACUAAAACUUAGUACUCUAAACGAUUUCAUAUCCCAAGAACCCUGCUUCAGUGGAUGAUCAAGAUUCUUUAGUCUUUGCUUCGUGAACAAUAACCAACCAGCAGAAAUGACCAAAACUAGCAGUCCAGCUGCUAAACAAGAUAGAAGUAUUCGAAGGUGACUGGAAUUGCUAGAAGUGGCAGAACAAGGUCGAAUAUUCCUGAAAUUAUUGCUACAUAAACCCGGGUUUCCAUCAAAGCCUUUGCGAAAGACCUCAAGGGAUAAAGAUUGAGGUAUGGGACCAGUCAGCUGGUUAUUUGAUAGAUCAAGAUUGCUUAGCCUCAGAGAUGAUAAACCAACUGGAAUUUGACCAGAAAGUUUGUUGUUGGAUAAAUUCAAGGAGUUCAAAGUAAAGAGAGAUCCAAGACUCUCAGGUAUUUCCCCGGAAAAUGAAUUGCCAGAGAGGUUUAUAUCAGUGAGAGAUACACAUGAGCCUAAUGACUCCGGUAUAGUACCAGAAAACAAGUUUCCAUUCAAAUAAAGACUGUUUAGUUUCUUCAACUCACCAAUACUUUCUGGGAUUCCUCCAAGAAAUUGAUUUGAGCUCAACUGGACUGACACCAAGGAAGAAGCAUGUGAAAUUGCAGCAGGCAACUCACCAGAAAAUUGAUUGUUAGCUAGAAUUAAUAACCCCAUAGACUUUGCAUUACCUAUAUCAGGUGUCAUAGGACCUUCAAAUAGGUUCAUGCUAAGAUCAAUGAUAAUAAGGUUUGGCAAACCCCAUAUUCCUGCAGGGACAGUGCCUGAAAGUGAAUUGUUGUUUACACGUAAACGAAUCAGAGACUUACAAUUCGCAUAGCUAUCUGGGAUUUGGCCUGUGAACUUGUUCUGCAGGAUAAGAAGGUCAGUCAUUUUUCCAUUCUUGCACAUAUCUGGAGGUGUAGGACCUGUCAAGAAAUUCUCUGAAACAUCGAUGUAAAUGAAGUCGCUCCAAGAGCCUAGCUUCUGAGGAAGUGAACCGGUGAAUUUGUUCGUAUAAAGAGAUAACUCUGUUAGGUACUUUAGUUCACCAAAUUCCUCAGGAAUCUCACCGGAGAAUUGGUUUUCAAAUAGUUGCAAAGAAGAAAGCUGUUUCAAGGAUUUCAACUCUCCAAGCUCACCUUCAAGCUUAUUAUGUGAAGCAUCAAAAUUCACCAGGUUUGUGAGAUUACUGAAUCCUACCGGAAGUUUCCCACUCAAGGAAUUGUUAUAAAUCUCAAGUUGCCAAAGCUUGCUGAGCUUUCCAAUUCCUGCUGGGAUUUCUCCAGAUAAAAGAUUAUCAGAGAGUUCAAGAUUUUGAAGCAGAGUAAGAUUUGAUAUACCCUCUGGAAUCUGGCCUUUGAUGCUACAAUUAGUGAGAUAAAGCCAGUACAACUUGUUAAGCUUCAGAACUUCAGCAGGGAAGGAGCUUGUUGCAUCGAAUGGGUUGUCUCCAAGACUUAAAAAUUCUAGAUUGGUAAGAUUCUCCAGUGAAUACCAUGGGAAUGACCCUGAAAAUCCACUACCAUUUAAAUUCAGGAUCCUCAAUUCUCGUAAACUAGACAAGUCAGGAACCUGUCCAGAAAACAAAUUCCCACCCAAAUCCAAAACCUGCAAGCUUCUGCAAUUCUUCAAGUCCUCAGUGAUGCUACCAUGAAGAGAAUUUGAUCCUAAAGAAAUCUUCUCCAGCGAUUGCAAAGCACAUAUUGAAUCAAAAGGAAGAACACCCUGAAGCUGUUGUUGGGAAAGAUUGAUUUCCUUGACGAGUCCAUUAGCAUUGCAAAUAAUUCCAGUGAAGCUGCAAACAGAAUUUUCUCGUGUCCAUGAGCUGAACACAUUAGUUUUUGAAUUGUUGAGAGAGGCCUUCAAGUUCAAAAGCAUUUUAAGCUCAUCUGAUUUGGUUGGAGAAACUAGCAUAAGAAAAAGAAGAAAGAAAAAUACCAAAGAAUAACAUUGCCGGGAAUAUUUUCCGACCGACAUGCCGGCGGGGCUUAUGAGAGUUUUAGGGGGCGAAUUUUUUUUUUUUUUU